rnacentral:rRNA from 1 species
UACGGAGGGGGCCAGCGUUGUUCGGAAUCAUUGGGCGUAAAGGGCGCGUAGGCGGCCGAUCAAGUCGGAGGUGAAAUCCCUCGGCUCAACUGAGGAAUUGCCUCCGAUACUGUUCGGCUUGAGUCCUGGAGAGGGUAGUGGAAUUCCCAGUGUAGCGGUGAAAUGCGUAGAGACUGGGAAGAACACCAGUGGCGAAGGCGGCUACCUGGACAGGUACUGACGCUGAGGCGCGAAAGCCAGGGGAGCAAACGGG